rnacentral:lncRNA from 1 species
GUAAUGGUUUAAAUGAAAGCUUGUCGGAUUUGUGAUUCAGAACAUUAAUAAUAAACACACCUUACAUCUAUUUUGAUAAGAUUAAACUGCAUUUAAGACCGAUUUUGGGGGUAUUUGUGUGCGUACAGUGUCAGAAAAACACAUUUCAAAUGAUUUUUUUCCGAUUUUCUGAUCGCCUUGAUAUCUGCAAAAGGGACUUUUUAAGAACGUUAAUUAU